UUCAAUGCUUUCUCACUAGAAUCCACAGAUUGAGAAAGUCUUGGAAUCUUCUUCUCUGUGUCAACUCCCGCAUUAAAGACAUGAUUAAUCUUUUCUGAGGUCUCAUUUGUGCCAAGCUUUGCAAUAGGUGAGUUUUGGGGCUCAUUGCUAUUAGAAAAUGUCUCAUUACAAUCACUUUUGACCCCAAUAGUGACGGUUGCAUUUUCAACUUUAGCAGUGUCGCUUUUGCUAUUAAUGGAUGAGGCUGCAGAUAGAAAACAAUGUUCCAGAUCAGGGUUUGGAUAAACUUCUUUUGACAGGUUCUUAGGUAAGGGUGAACCUGAAGGUUCUGCACUAGGAUCUGAUUUUGUAACUAAGCAUUCUGAAAUCACUGGGCGAUUCAAUCCUUCUUUCUGAAGGAUAUCUUUUAAUGCACCAAAAUUUAGUGGAUCUUUUCUAUUAACAGUAGCAGCAGAGCCUGCAGCCAGUGAUCUAUUCCCAACUGAACCAUUAUCUGCCGGUUCCUUUGACGACUGCUUAAAAACCAAAUUUGCAAUGUCACUUCCAGCAGUUGCUUUCAUAUUUUCUUUCUGAACUACAUCAACAGGCUUUCUUAAAGCCAUAUUUUUUCUAUCACGGACAUAAAAAAGCAUAUAUGCCUUCUGGUCUAGAACAGUCUUCUCACU
rnacentral:misc_RNA from 1 species